rnacentral:lncRNA from 1 species
AAAAAAACACCACUAUUACAAACACCAGGACAGGCCCCACACCCACACAAAUACGGACGCGACGGCACACACCAGACGGAGACCCGACGAACCCUACUACCGACACCCCCCACAUACAGAAAGCCACACAGAGACACUCACAAACACACACAACGAUGACCACACACACAAGUACACCCUCCGGACCAAGGCAAUGACCAAUGGCAAAACCAAAAAUUCAAGUACAAAAUAAUAUAAGAAUAGAAUAAGUUUAUA